rnacentral:rRNA from 1 species
AACGAACGCUGGCGGCAGGCCUAACACAUGCAAGUCGAGCGAGACCUUCGGGUCUAGCGGCGGACGGGUGAGUAACGCGUGGGAAUCUGCCCUUUGGUACGGAAGAGCCUCGGGAAACUGAGAGUAAUACCGUAUGUGCCCCUCGGGGGAAAGAUUUAUCGCCAAAGGAUUAGCCCGCGUUGGAUUAGGUAGUUGGUGGGGUAAUGGCCUACCAAGCCUACGAUCCAUAGCUGGUUUGAGAGGAUGAUCAGCCACACUGGGACUGAGACACGGCCCAGACUCCUACGGGAGGCAGCAGUGGGGAAUCUUAGACAAUGGGGGCAACCCUGAUCUAGCCAUGCCGCGUGAGUGAUGAAGGCCUUAGGGUUGUAAAGCUCUUUCAGCUGGGAAGAUAAUGACGGUACCAGCAGAAGAAGCCCCGGCUAACUCUGUGCCAGCCGCCGCCGUAAUAC